CACUCCUCUUCCACAGUGUUGACAUUCAGGUAUCAUCAGUUUUCUAAGUGCUUUGAAUUGUAUGUCAGAAUGGCUGCCAAAAUACUUGAAAGCAGAGUAAAUAGAGAUAGAUUUACUAAUUUCAGUUUGGCAGUAAUUUCAUGGGAAAGAAGUAGCCCUUUACCAAUUUAAAAUAGUAAAAAUCAGAAAGAUUUUUUAUGGAAUUUUCAUGUUUUAAGUAAUGCUUAGUUGUGGAACUAUGUGUGCUCCUGUGAGAUAGUCUUUGAGCUUUGUGCAUUGGAUAAUCCUUUAGCAUGGGGUGGAAAAAGAUAUUCCAUGUGGCCAGGUGCGGUGGCUCACCCCUGUAAUCCCAGCAUUUUGGGAGGCUGAGGCAGGUGGAACACAAGGUCAGGAGUUCGAGACCAGCCUGGC
rnacentral:lncRNA from 1 species